UACAUAAGUUAAUAAUUACGCAGUCCGAAAACAACCUAAUAAAGUUCAGUGCAUGUAAAACUAAACAAUGUUUAAAUCAAUCAAAGGCGCAGCGGGUACAUACCGACGAAUUCAACAAUUAAGAAAUAUAUCCACUAAACUAGUCAACACCGCUAUAAAUAAUGAAGGAAUAAGCAUCAUAGAAAUUCAAAGAAAACCGGUCAACGCUUUGAGUACGCAACUACUAACUGAAAUACGGGACGCGUUGGAAUGUGCUGAAAACAACAGAGUGCGAGGAAUUUUACUAACAUCAGGAAUUAAAAAUAUAUUUUCAGCUGGAUUGAACAUUAAAGAACUGUACAAACCGACAAUUGAACGCUUUACACCUUAUUGGUCUUGUUUCAAAGAUGUUUUACUGAAACUAAAUAUGAUGAAAAUUCCGACUGCGGCUGUGGUCAAUGGACACGCAAUAGCAGGUGGCUGUUUAUUGCCAUUAUCGUGUGAGUAUCGUAUUAUGGUAAGUGGUUAUACGAUAGGAAUGAACGAAACUAAGUUGGGAAUGCCCGUACCCCCUUGGGCACAUUCAAUAUUUACUUAUGCGACUUCCCGAAGACAAUCAGAACUUGCCCUUACUAGUGGCGUAUUAUUUACUACCGAACAAGCAUUAACAAUUGGUUUAAUAGAUCAAAUUGCCGCCAAUGAAGAAGAUGCACAUGAAACAAGUGAAUUAUUUUUUAAGCAAUUUGAUCAAGUUGACUUUAUCGCGAGGAAAAUCUCUAAGCAGUCAAUGAAAACAUCAAUAAAAGAGGCCCUCACCAAAAACCACAAAAAAGAUACUGAACAUUUCUUCGCAAAUCUUAUUAAACCACACGUACAACAAAAGUUAGAAGAAUACGCAAAAUAAACUAUUUGACGCCUUUAAAUAAAUUUCGCUUUCUGACUGUUAUAAAACUCA